rnacentral:rRNA from 1 species
UGGGGAAUAUUGGACAAUGGGCGCAAGCCUGAUCCAGCCAUGCCGCGUGUGUGAAGAAGGCCUUCGGGUUGUAAAGCACUUUUNGCNGGGAGGAAGGGCAGUUGNUUAAUACUUGGNNGUAUUGACGUUACCCACAGAAUAAGCACCGGCUAACUCCGUGCCAGCAGCCGCGGUAAUACGGAGGGUGCAAGCGUUAAUCGGAAUUACUGGGCGUAAAGCGCGCGUAGGUGGUUNGUUAAGUCGGAUGUGAAAUCCCCGGGCUCAACCUGGGAACUGCAUUNGAAACUGGCGNGCUAGAGUGNGGUAGAGGGGGGUGGAAUUCCCGGUGUAGCGGUGAAAUGCGUAGAGAUNGGGAGGAACACCNGUGGCGAAGGCNACCCCCUGGACCGAUACUGAC